CGCCAUUACUAAAAUCUCUCUCUCCAUCUGCUUUUCUUCACAAACUGGUCAGACUUUGCCUGGAUGCGUGCAUGAAUAGAGCACCAUAACGUAGCACCAAGCGGAUUUAUCUCAGACUGUACAUCUUUUGGUCCUCUGCCAUCUGCAAAGUGGUAGUGAGAAACGUGACAUCAAAAUACAGGCUGAUGCUUUUGUUUCUGAACACCAAGGACACAAAAGAAUGGAGGAAACUGAAUUGCUGAAGGAGAGACUCCAGGCCAUAACAGAAAAAUGAAUAUUAAUAGAAACACUUAAAGAUUUUAAUUACAGUAUUUCUGCUGUCUUAUGCCACUAGACACACACGUCCAUACCUCCAGGUAAGACCUCUCAAUAACCAAGCACCACUUCUGGAAAGCGGCAUGAA
rnacentral:lncRNA from 1 species